GACGAACGCUGGCGGCGUGCUUAACACAUGCAAGUCGAACGGAAAGGCCCUGCUUUUGUGGGGUGCUCGAGUGGCGAACGGGUGAGUAACACGUGAGUAACCUGCCCUUGACUUUGGGAUAACUUCAGGAAACUGGGGCUAAUACCGGAUAGGAGCUCCUGCUGCAUGGUGGGGGUUGGAAAGUUUCGGCGGUUGGGGAUGGACUCGCGGCUUAUCAGCUUGUUGGUGGGGUAGUGGCUUACCAAGGCUUUGACGGGUAGCCGGCCUGAGAGGGUGACCGGCCCCAAUGGGACUGGGAUACGGGCCAGACUCCUACGGGGGGGAGGAGGUGGGAAUAUUGCACAAUGGGCGGGAGCCUGAUGCAGCAACGCCGCGUGCGGGAUGACGGCCUUCGGGGUGGAAACCGCUUUCGCCUGUGACGAAGCGUGAGUGACGGUAAUGGGUAAAGAAGCACCGGCUAACUACGUG
rnacentral:rRNA from 1 species